rnacentral:sRNA from 1 species
AGAUUGUUCACAGGCAGUUACAGAUGAAAAUCGUCAUCUACUCUUCCCCAACCUUCUCACUACUGCGCUUAACAGACUUUAU